GUCGACUUGGAGGUUGUGCCCUUGAGGCGUGGCUUCCGGAGCUAACGCGUUAAGUCGACCGCCUGGGGAGUACGGCCGCAAGGUUAGAACUCAAAUGAAUUGACGGGGGCCCGCACAAGCGGUGGAGCAUGUGGUUUAAUUCGAUGCAACGCGAAGAACCUUACCUGGUCUUGACAUCCACAGAACUUUCCAGAGAUGAAUGUGUGCCUUCGGGAACUGUGAGACAGGUGCUGCAUGGCUGUCGUCAGCUCGUGUUGGGGAAUGUUGGGUUAAGUCCCGCAACGAGCGCAACCCUUAUCUUUUGUUGCCAGCGGUCCGGCCGGGAACUCAAAGGAAACUGCCAGUGAUAAACUGGAGGAAGGUGGGGAUGACGUCAAGUCAUCAUGGCCCUUACGACCAGGGCUACACACGUGCUACAAUGGCGCAACCAAAGAGAAGCGACUUCGCGAGAGCAAGCGGACCUCAUAAAGUGCGUCGUACGAUGGAUUUGACUCAUCGA
rnacentral:rRNA from 1 species